rnacentral:rRNA from 1 species
GAUGAACGCUGGCGGCGUGCCUAAUACAUGCAAGUCGAGCGAACAGACGCGGAGCUUACUCCUCUGACGUUAGCAACGGACGGGUAAGUAACACGUGGAUAACCCACCUAUAAGACUGAAACAACUUCGAGAGGCCGUAGCUCCUACCGGGUACUAUAUUGAACGGGAUGGUUCAAUAGUGAAUGCGGGGUUGGAUGUCACUUCUACCUAGAUCCGCGCCGCAUUAGCGAGUUGGUAAGGUAACGGCUUACGAAGGCAAGGAUGCGUAGCCGACCUGAGAGGGUGUAGGGCCACUGUGGAGCUGAGGCACGGUCCAGAGUCCGACGUGAGGCAGCAGUAGGGAAUGUUCGGCAAUGGGCGAAAGCUUGACGGAGCAACGCCGCGUGGGUGAUGCAGGUCUUCGUAUCGUAUAACUCUGUUAUUGGUGAAGAACAAAUGCGUAAGUAACGAUGCACUUUGUGACGGUACCUAAACAGAAAGCCCCGGCUAACUACGUG